UACGGAGGAUCCGAGCGUUAUCCGGAUUUAUUGGGUUUAAAGGGUGCGCAGGCGGGAGAUUAAGUCGGCGGUGAAAUUUUGCAGCUCAACUGUAAAAGUGCCUUCGAAACUGGUUUCCUUGAGUGUAGAUGAAGUAGGCGGAAUUUGUGGUGUAGCGGUGAAAUGCAUAGAUAUCACGAGGAACUCCGAUUGCGCAGGCAGCUUACUAAACUACUACUGACGCUCAGGCACGAAGGCGUGGGGAUCAAGCAGGAUUAGAUACCCGGGUAGU
rnacentral:rRNA from 1 species